rnacentral:rRNA from 1 species
GUGGGGAAUCUUGCGCAAUGGGCGAAAGCCUGACGCAGCCAUGUCGCGUGAAUGAUGAAGGUCUUAGGAUUGUAAAAUUCUUUCACCGGGGACGAUAAUGACGGUACCCGGAGAAGAAGCUCCGGCUAACUUCGUGCCAGCAGCCGCGGUAAUACGAAGGGGGCUAGCGUUGCUCGGAAUUACUGGGCGUAAAGGGCGCGUAGGCGGACAGCUUAGUCAGAGGUGAAAGCCCAGGGCUCAACCUUGGAAUUGCCUUUGAUACUGGCUGUCUUGAGUUUGGGAGAGGUGAGUGGAACUCCGAGUGUAGAGGUGAAAUUCGUAGAUAUUCGGAAGAACACCAGUGGCGAAGGCGACUCACUGGCCCAAUACUGACGCUGAGGCGCGAAAGCGUGGGGAGCAAACAGGAUUAGAAACCCCUGUAGUCC